rnacentral:tRNA from 1 species
GGGGAUGUGGUUCAGUGGUUAGAGUGCUUGCCUGCUAUGCAUGAAGCCCUGGCUUCUGUCUCCAGUACCACCU